rnacentral:lncRNA from 1 species
AUGCCUGACAGGAGGAAGAAACAUCAGGUCUUCCACAAUUCCAGCAGCAGCAGCUGCCCACCACGCAGGAGCAGCAGCAGCUGCAGCUGCCCAUCACGCAGGACCAGCAGCAGCUGCCCACCACGCAGGACCAGCAGCAGCUCACAAGUUCACAAGUUUGUGGACAAGGCUCAGCGGGCCCAACACUCUCAAGGAAAAGAAAGACAACGCAGGAAAUUUCACACCUUGCUUUCAAAAACCCACACUCCUCAGUCUGAAACCACACAACUCAGAGAAGAAAACACACCCGAAGACAGUCGGGAGAAAUGGGUAAAGAACUUUUCAGACCGGAAUCUCACUGAACCUGAAAAGAGGGUUUUAGCCAAAGGACUCAAUUUCGCCAUUUCUCCGCAACAGUUGCCCAUAGUGGACCUCAUCACAGCCACAGAAACCGCCAUACGGAUUAAUAAAUUAUCACAGACAGAAGCAGAGCAAAUCAGGAUGAAAGUCUCAGCCACCCUCUCCAGUGCGAAAGUCCCUCCGUCUAACCUCACACUACAAGAAAAGAAGGCCGUCGCUUCCCUGAGCAAAGACCACAACAUCACCAUAUUACCAGCGGAUAAGGGAAGGUGCACCGUGGUCCUAAACACAACGGAUUACCACACAAAGAUCACUACUCUCCUCAGUGACAACAACACCUACGAAGUUUUAAAACGAGACCCCACAAGCAGCUACAAAAAGAAAGUCAUAGCUUGCCUUCAAGACCUUGAAAAGGACAAAAUCAUUGACCCCCUCACAUAUCACCGCCUUUAUCCAGGGGAUGCCAUACCCUGCAUUUAUGGACUUCCUAAGAUCCACAAGGAAGGGGUCCCACUCAGACCCAUAGUCAGUAGCAUAAACUCAGCUACUUACAACAUUGCAAAACACCUUGCUACCAUCCUGGCACCUCUCGUGGGGAACACCCCACAUCACAUCAAGAACUCCACCGACUUCACCGACAAGGUCCAGAAACUUACCCUGGAUCCAGAUGAAACCAUGGUGUCCUUUGAUGUAGUCUCUCUCUUCACUUGCAUACCCACCACGGAAGCAGUGGAGACUGUCAGAAAACGACUACAAGAAGACAGCUCCUUGGAAGACAGGACCAACUUCACACCCGAUCACAUCUGCACACUGUUAGACCUCUGCCUUACCACAACAUACUUCAAAUACAACGAAGGCUUCUACAGACAAAAACAUGGCUGUGCCAUGGGCUCCCCUGUGUCACCUAUUGUAGCCAACCUUUACAUGGAGGAAGUGGAAAGAAAGGCUCUUGGCUCUUUUAAAGGGAGAGUACCCAGCCACUGGUACAGAUAUGUAGACGACACCUGGGUCAAAAUCAAGACACAAGAAGUGGAAUCCUUCACUGCGCACAUUAACGCCGUGGAUAAAAACAUCAAGUUCACCAGGGAAGACACAAAGGAUAACUGUUUGCCUUUCCUGGACUGCGCCGUGCACAUUGAAGAGAAUGGAAACCUCAACAUCGAAGUUUACCGGAAGCCCACACACACGGACCAGUACCUCCUCUUUGACUCCCAUCACCCUCUGGAACACAAACUUGGAGUAAUUAGGACCCUACACCACCGGGCAGAACAUGUUCCCUCUAAGCCUGAGGGAAAAAAGAAGGAACACACACAUGUAAAGGAAGCACUGAAAACAUGUGGUUAUCCUAACUGGGCGUUCAUAAAGUCAGCAAAGAGGCACAGAAAAGAAGAUCAGACACCAGCGAGGGAGGAUAAGAAAGACAGACGCAACAACGUUGUCAUCCCCUAUGUAGCCGGUGUAUCAGAGAAACUCAGGAGAGUUUUCUCCAAGCACGACAUCCCAGUGUACUUCAGACCCAGCAACACACUCAGACACAAACUGGUUCACCCGAAAGACAAAACUCCUAAACACAGACUGAACAACGUGGUGUAUGCUGUACAGUGCAGCGAGGAAUGCCCAGACCUCUACAUUGGAGAGACCAAACAGCCACUUCACAAGCGCAUGGCACAACAUAGAAGAGCCACCUCCACAGGACAAGACUCAGCAGUCCAUCUGCAUCUUAAGGAUAAAGGUCACUCUUUCGAGGAUGCCAAUGUUCACAUUUUGGACAGAGAGGACAGAUGGUUUGAAAGAGGAGUGAAAGAGGCCAUCUAUGUCCACUGUGAGCGACCAUCUUUGAACAGAGGCGGUGGUUUACGACACCAACUGUCUGCCAUCUAUAAUCCAGUUUUGAGUUCCCUCCCCAGACGCCUUAACGCCCACUCACAUCCUGGGCCAUCUGACCUCAGGAAAUCACAUGAUAGGGUGGGGCCAGGUUUCACAAUGGGCUCACCCGAAACCCUGGCUGAUUAG